UGUCACCAGCAUGCAAAUUUCUUCCA
rnacentral:piRNA from 1 species